rnacentral:rRNA from 1 species
UGGGGAAUAUUGCACAAUGGGCGAAAGCCUGAUGCAGCAACGCCGCGUGAAGGAAGAAGGGUUUCGGCUCGUAAACUUCUAUCAACAGGGACGAAGACAAUGACGGUACCUGAGUAAGAAGCCCCGGCUAACUACGUGCC